CAGUUAACAUGAAAAUAUAUAAAUAUGUUAUAUUUGUAUAAUGUAUAUCUAUAUGUGACUUAAUAAAAAAAAGUCACGUUCUCUUAACUUUUAUACAUUCAUGUCUUUCUGCCCCAAGCUGACUUUGGGCCACCUUCUUCACACUCUCUCCCCCACUUCUGCGAGGACUGAGUUGAAAGCUCAGUAAACUUUAUGUGAUCAGGUAAGUGACCACCAAGUGGACAAGAGAGAAAGAGACCUCAGAGAAGAUCCACACAUCACUAUUUACAGCUCGUGAGCAAACAGUUUUGCUAAAAGUGCCCAGAUGUUAAAGAAGGAAUCAAUGGUCGUUCCACUAAGAAUUUUUUACCAUCCUGAAAGUGACCUUUCUCCUCAUCCCUUUUGUGGCUUCCCGCUCCCAGGUAUCCUGGAAGACUUCUACUCACCGGGAAAAGCCUAGGCAAGGUCUACCUCACAAUUACUACAUUCCAAAACCCUAUCAGAAUGUGGCUCUGAUAUCCUGAAAUCUCUGCAGCCCUACCUCUGCCAGGAGCAGCACAGGAAUCCACACCCAACUGAUGAGGAAACUAAGGCUCAGAAAGUUCAGGAAACUUGCCAAGAUUACCCACGUGGUUACGAAGAUCUCGGCAUCAGAAGAGAAGCUCAGAGCAGCACGGCAUCCUCAGCCCUCCUUCUCUCUUGAAGCAGACACUGAAAGACAGGAGCCGUCUCUAGGCUGGGAGGAAGGGCUAUGACGGUCAUCUACUGCCAUGGCUCUCGAGGCUGACAUCACAACCAAGUGAGGACUUCUACAAGACACCCACACGCAGAGAAAUUUUACCUCAAGAAGCUCAUCCUCUGGCUGCAGAAGUUUCAGUGUAUCAACAGGACCACCUGGAACAAUUGAAGAUAUAUAAUGGUGCCCA